rnacentral:rRNA from 1 species
GGGGUGCUCGAGUGGCGAACGGGUGAGUAACACGUGAGUAACCUGCCCUUGACUUUGGGAUAACUUCGGGAAACUGGGGCUAAUACCGGAUAGGAGCUCCUGCUGCAUGGUGGGGGUUGGAAAGUUUCGGCGGUUGGGGAUGGACUCGCGGCUUAUCAGCUUGUUGGUGGGGUAGUGGCUUACCAAGGCUUUGACGGGUAGCCGGCCUGAGAGGGUGACCGGCCACAUUGGGACUGAGAUACGGCCCAU